UACAGAGGGGGCAAGCGUUGUUCGGAAUUACUGGGCUUAAAGGGCGCGUAGGCGGCCUUCUAAGUCGAACGUGAAAUCCCCGGGCUCAACCCGGGAACUGCGUCCGAUACUGGAAGGCUUGAAUCCGGGAGAGGGAUGUGGAAUUCCAGGUGUAGCGGUGAAAUGCGUAGAUAUCUGGAGGAACACCGGUGGCGAAGGCGACAUCCUGGACCGGUAUUGACGCUGAGGCGCGAAAGCCAGGGGAGCAAACGGG
rnacentral:rRNA from 1 species